CCGUCCCGCUCCAGACGCGCGCCGGAGAGCAAGCAAGAGCGCUCGCUAGGCCCGCGCCCGCUGCCACCGCCGCCGUGCAGGCGACCGCUGUCAGCCAACACUGCACCCGGGGGGGCGGGAGAGCGGAGCCGCCGGCUGUCGGCCCAAAGAAUCGCCCGGUUCCCGCACGCGAUGUUAGAGACAAGGGUCCUGAAGCUAUACCUCGGACACCUCGUCCUCGUCGCUCCCAGAAGCGCCGCCGCCGCCGCCCGUCCUCAGCACGGCAGCCGCCAACUUGAAAUCCAGCGCCGCGUCCCCUCCGCCUGCGCCGCCGCCGCCGCCACCACCGACUCCCUGCGCGGGCCCAGCCUCCCCAAAGAGCCUCACGGUGCGGAUUCCCAGCCCGACCCCUCCCGGCGGAGGAGGCUCCGAGGCCCCAGCUGGGGCGGAUCGCGGAGCUACGGAGUCCAAAUCCUCCUCGAAGGAGGUGCCGCCACCCCCGCUGUCCGUCAGCAUGGUUCGCACGCGGAGCCGGGGACGCCGCCGCCGCCGCCGAGUCACUCGCGGCCACCGCCGCGGCGGAUCCCAGGAAGGUGAGGAGCAGCAGGAGGAAGAAGCGUCUCCGUGCCCCCCCACCCCGUCCCAGCAGCGCCACUAACUUCUCACUGCCUAACCUGCUGCCUCCCGCCCCUGCGACUCAUCACUGGUCGCGACUCCCAGGCGCCCGCGAACCAUUGGCCACAGCGAGCUGUCGCUCACGCUCGCCGUCACGCGCUGCUAGCUGGCUCUCGGCCGCCAAGCUGCGUUGACCCGCGCAGGCCUAGGCGGUUGUGAACGCCCGCCUCCUCCGCCUCCCGCGCAGACUUCCGGUCUUCGCCUCUGCCCAUUGGCCGGCCUCCGUGACUAGCGACUCACGACCUUAGAGCGGAUUAGUUGGCCCGGCGGUCACUCAGGAGGAACCCUAACAAUGGGGAACUCAAUUGGCGCCAGGGACUGUCGGUCAUUUUGUCACGGGACGUCGCGUGGUACAAUUGGCCUGCGGGGAUCUUGUUCGUCCCGCCCCCAUCUGAGGUGACGGGAAAGGGCUGGGGAAUUUCCACCGCUCGUUAAGAGGAGGGCUGAAGUGAAACCCCGCAAGAAUUAACAAAACACGAAGUAAACCUAACCCUUGGCUUGGAGAGUCUUGUGCGUCCACGGUGCAGGAGGCGUCGAGGUAACAAAGUAGCUCCCACCUGUCGCUCUCCCGCGGGCGCCGCGGCUACGGCCGGAAGUGGCUGCGCGGGGAUUGGCGGAAAGAAGCAGUCAGUCUCCGCGAAGCCCCGUCUUCCUGCCAUUUCCCGGUUGGAGGCCCGCGACGUCAGUCACCGCGGCAGGCUCCGCCUCUGGGACAGGGCACUUUGUGCAUGCCUGGUGCUCAAGAAGGCUAGAAGAGGGCGCUGGAUCCCCGGGAACUGGAGUUAGAAUGGUUAUAGUUGCCGUGUGGAAGCUGCCGUGUGGAAGCUGCCGUGUGGAAGCUGCUGUGUGGAAGCUGGUCGUCAUACUCAGGUCCUCUGGAAGAACUGCAAGAGUCUUAAUUGCUGAACCAUCUCUCCAGUCCCUAAAAAACAUAUGUACUCUUCAAGUUUAAAUAUUCUUAAGUUUAUAUACAAA